UGAUGACAGAGGUGCAAAGAUUUUGCUCAAACUACACGUGCUCCUGGAUGUCUGCAAAACCAGGCUCUUAAAAAGGUAGCAAGACUUCAUCACUGACAGAG